ACUCCAGCUCAGCCAGACCCAAUACAUUAGGUCAAAAACUUUCAGAAAAUAUUAUUUUGCUGUACUGUAUUUGGUUUUGCCAGGAAAAUUGAAGGAAAAAAGCUACCUUAAGUGCAAUGCCAAGGCUCUCUUUGUCAACCAAAGCGCUUGUCUUUGGUGCCUCAGUUCACUUCCCAAUACAAGGAAAAGAAAGACUUCAUUUAUCCUGUGCUCCAGCUGGCAAGGUUUCCCAGUUGCUCCAUCUCUAGGAUCAAAGACUGUGACCAAUACUGCUAAGAGAGCCUGUGUAGCUGCUUUGGCAUAUUUAUCAGCCACAGACUGCAAGUUUGGUUUCCCGGAAAGAGGUGCUCAAGAAAGGUCUCAAAGAAUAGCUGUUUAGGAAACAGGAGGAG